AGAAUUUUUCUCAAUGGGGGCAACCCUGAAGGAGCGACGCCGCGUGAAGGAUGAAGGUCUUCGGAUUGUAAACUUCUGUCAUCGGUGAACAAGGCCCACGCAGUAACUGGCGUUGGGAUUGAUAGUAGCCGAAGAGGAAGAGACGGCUACCUCUGUGCCAGCAGCCGCGGUAAUCCAGAGGUCUCAAGCGUUGUUCGGAGUCAUUGGGCGUAAAGGGUGCGGAGGUGGCGAGGUAAGUCUGGUGUGAAAUCCCGGGGCUCAACCCCGGAACUGCACUGGAUACUGCCCUGCUAGAGUACUGGAGAGGAGAUUGGAAUUUACGGUGUAGCAGUGAAAUGCGUAGAUAUCGUAAGGAAGACCAGUGGCGAAGGCGAAUCUCUGGACAGUUACUGACACUGAGGCACGAAGGCCAGGGGAGCAAA
rnacentral:rRNA from 1 species